UCAAGAUGGGGAAUAAACUCGGCCUUCUGUCUCAGCAAGCUGUUCCAGUUUACCUCGGUGAAGAAUGAAUGCUGCCUCACUUCAAAAGCACCACCUGGAGGGACGAGGAAGAGGAGGGAGAGAAGAGGAGGAGAACAGACAGGUCAAAAAUGAAGCCCUGAAGUGACUGGAGGCGCUUCGACUCAAACAGGAGCUGAGUUAUUUGAGUUAAGUGAAGCUGCGAGGUAAAGGCAGGAUGACAGUCAGAGCUCUCCAGGGACUCAACAAAAAUAUACAACCACAAAAACCGCCUCACAAACAACUUAUUAUUUUAUAUGUACAAGAAAAAGGAAAGAAAAAGAAGAGCUGGAGACUUAAGAUCCUCUGGAGUGUCUCCAAAGAAAGGCACACAGCCCACCAGGAACUCGUACAGGAUGAUGCCCAUCGCCCACCAGUCCACCGGCUUCCCGUAACCCUGACGGAGAAUCACUUCAGGGGCGAUGUACUCCGGAGUCCCACACACCUGGAGGAAACAACAACACACACAUCCUGUGUCUCCGGGUCUCAAAGGAGCAGAACAUGGAGACCACGAAGGGGUUCUCUGCGAAGGUGAGGAUGUCUCUCUCCACGAAGGCCUGCUGGAUCUGGUUCCUCAGGAUCAGGUUCUGCUUGUUGAUCUUCUUCAUUGCAAAUCGCUGGCGGGUG